rnacentral:rRNA from 1 species
AUUGAACGCUGGCGGCAGGCCUAACACAUGCAAGUCGAGCGAGCGGCGGACGGGUGAGUAAUGUAUGGGGAUCUGCCCGAUAGAGGGGGAUAAAUACUGGAAACGGUGGCUAAUACCGCAAACUAACGGAUGAACAAAUAUGGGAUUAGCUAGUAGGGGGGGUAACGGCUCACCUAGGCGACGACCCCUAGCUGGUCUGAGAGGAUGAGCAGCCACACUGGAACUGAGACACGGUCCAGACUCCUACGGGAGGCAGCAGUGGGGAAUAUUGCACAAUGGGCGCAAGCCUGAUGCAGCCAUGCCGCGUGUAUGAAGAAGGCCUUCGGGUUGUAAAGUACUUUCAGCGGGGAGGCGUUACCCGCAGAAGAAGCACCGGCUAACUCCGUGCCAGCAGCCGCGGUAAUAC